rnacentral:tRNA from 1 species
GAGGGUACAGCUCAGUGGUAGAGUGCAGGCUCAGCAGGCAUGAGGUCCUGGGUUCAAUGCCCAGUGCCUCCA